AUUGAACGCUGGCGGCAGGCUUAACACAUGCAAGUCGAGCGGAGCUGAGGUGCUUGCACCUUAUCUUAGCGGCGGACGGGUGAGUAAUGCUUAGGAAUCUGCCUAUUAGCGGGGGACAACAUUCCGAAAGGAAUGCUAAUCCCGCAUACGUCCUACGGGAGACAGCAGGGGACCUUCGGGCCUUGCGCUAAUAGAUGAGCCUAAGUCGGAUUAGCUAGUUGGUGGGGUAAAGGCCUACCAAGGCGACGAUCUGUAGCGGGUCUGAGAGGAUGAUCCGCCACACUGGGACUGAGACACGGCCCAGACUCCUACGGGAGGCAGCAGUGGGGAAUAUUGGACAAUGGGCGGAAGCCUGAUCCAGCCAUGCCGCGUGUGUGAAGAAGGCCUUUUGGUUGUAAAGCACUUUAAGCGAGGAGGAGGCUACUAGUACUAAUACUACUGGAUAGUGGACGUUACUCGCAGAAUAAGCACCGGCUAACUCUGUGCCAGCAGCCGCAGUAACAC
rnacentral:rRNA from 1 species